UGGUGGUUGGUUGAAAGUUUUUGACGGUUUUGGAUGGACUCGCGGCCUAUCAGUUUGUUGGUGGGGUAAUGGCCUACCAAGGCUUUGACGGGUAGCCGGCCUGAGAGGGUGACCGGCCACACUGGGACUGAGACACGGCCCAGACUCCUACGGGAGGCAGCAGUGGGGGAUCUUGCAC
rnacentral:rRNA from 1 species